UUAAAUUGAAGAGUUUGAUCAUGGCUCAGAUUGAACGCUGGCGGCAGGCCUAACACAUGCAAGUCGAGCGGAAACGAGUUGUCUGAACCUUCGGGGAACGAUAACGGCGUCGAGCGGCGGACGGGUGAGUAAUGCCUAGGAAAU
rnacentral:rRNA from 1 species